AUUGAACGCUGGCGGCAGGCUUAACACAUGCAAGUCGAGCGGUAACAUUUCUAGCUUGCUAGAAGAUGACGAGCGGCGGACGGGUGAGUAAUACUUAGGAAUCUACCUAGUAGUGGGGGAUAGCUCGGGGAAACUCGAAUUAAUACCGCAUACGACCUACGGGAGAAAGGGGGCAACUUGUUGCUCUCGCUAUUAGAUGAGCCUAAGUCGGAUUAGCUAGAUGGUGGGGUAAAGGCCUACCAUGGCGACGAUCUGUAGCUGGUCUGAGAGGAUGAUCAGCCACACCGGGACUGAGACACGGCCCGGACUCCUACGGGAGGCAGCAGUGGGGAAUAUUGGACAAUGGGGGAAACCCUGAUCCAGCCAUGCCGCGUGUGUGAAGAAGGCCUUUUGGUUGUAAAGCACUUUAAGCAGUGAAGAAGACUCUUCGGUUAAUACCCGGAGAUGAUGACAUUAGCUGCAGAAUAAGCACCGGCUAACUCUGUGCCAGCAGCCGCGGUAAUACUGAGGGUGCAAGCGUUAAUCGGAAUUACUGGGCGUAAAGCGAGCGUAGGUGGCUUGAUAAGUCAGAUGUGAAAUCCCCGGGCUUAACCUGGGAACUGCAUCUGAUACUGUUAGGCUAGAGUAGGUGAGAGGAAGGUAGAAUUCCAGGUGUAGCGGUGAAAUGCGUAGAGAUCUGGAGGAAUACCGAUGGCGAAGGCAGCCUUCUGGCAUCAUACUGACACUGAGGCUCGAAAGCGUGGGUAGCAAACAGG
rnacentral:rRNA from 1 species